UACGUAGGGUGCGAGCGUUACUCGGAAUUACUGGGCGUAAAGGGUGCGUAGGUGGUUAAUUAAGUCAGAUGUGAAAUCCCCGGGCUUAACCUGGGAAUUGCAUUUGAAACUGGUUGACUAGAGUACGGUAGAGGGAAGUGGAAUUUCCGGUGUAGCGGUGAAAUGCGUAGAUAUCGGAAGGAACAUCAGUGGCGAAGGCGACUUCCUGGACCGUUACUGACACUGAGGCACGAAAGCGUGGGGAGCGAACAGG
rnacentral:rRNA from 1 species